rnacentral:rRNA from 1 species
UGGGGAAUAUUGCGCAAUGGGCGAAAGCCUGACGCAGCGACGCCGCGUGCGGGAUGAAGGCCUUCGGGUUGUAAACCGCUGUCGGGAGGGACGAAUUCAUGACGGUACCUCCAAAGGAAGCACCGGCUAACUCUGUGCCAGCAGCCGCGGUAAUACAGAGGGUGCGAGCGUUGUCCGGAAUCACUGGGCGUAAAGGGCGCGUAGGCGGCCUGGUAAGUAGGGGGUGAAAUCGUGCGGCUCAACCGUACGACUGCCUUCUAAACUGUCAGGCUGGAGCACAGUAGAGGCAGGUGGAAUUCCCGGUGUAGCGGUGGAAUGCGUAGAGAUCGGGAAGAACAUCGGUGGCGAAGGCGGCCUGCUGGGCUGUUGCUGACGCUGAGGCGCGAAAGCGUGGGGAGCAAACAGG